CUUGAGCAAUCCUUUCUUCAAGAAUUAUUAUGCCACCUCUGGUCAGAGUACUGCUGGAGCUACUGCAAAGCCACAAUUACUUGGAGGAAUUCCUGUUACCACUCCACAAACAAUUCUUCCUACUUUUGGCUCUGUUACUGGGAUGAUGGAAUCAUGUGCGAAAACAUCUGGUUCUCCUGCUCAACUGACCAUCUUUUACGCUGGCACAGUGAAUGUGUAUAAUGAUAUAUCUCCUGAGAAGGCCCAGGCUAUCAUGUUCUUGGCUGGAAAGGAUUCUUCUAUCUCCUCUAACAUGACACAGCCAAACAUGACACAGCCAAACAAUCGCAUCCAGGAACCAAGCUCAAAGCCAAUAGCUACUGAUGUUAGUCCUGUGAACCACAAUGUAACUACACCAC
rnacentral:misc_RNA from 1 species